rnacentral:ncRNA from 1 species
CUCUCGAAAAGCCACACCUGCCGAAAGGCAGGGUCGGAAAGGCCAGAGUCUCCCCUUGAGGCCGUCAGCCCGCCGAA